GGAUCUAUGUAAAAGAAUAACAGGCCAUACAAGUGGAACAGUGGUUUAGGUGCAGUUGCAGAAUUUGUUCUUGACCUUGUAGGCAUCGGAGAGGCAUUGAAAACAUUCAGGAGAUUGGUAAUGAUAUUCAGGGUGAGUUGAUGAGACCUAAAGCCAGUAGAGACGCGAGUUGGUUCAUCCUCAGUGACAACCUCAUUGCUAUGGAGUCAGGCGCUUUCCACCUUGCAGCCGGCCCUGCUCAGCAUGUUAGCUUGCACCCUAGGCAUGGCCCUUCAUGGCCACCGUGAUGGUUGCCACUGCUCCAAGCAGCCCUCAGUCUAAAAAGGUAGUCCCCCACCGCCUGCCCCCUCAAAUCAGGAAGGAAAACCUUUCAGAGAAGCAUCCUACAGGAAUUCUCCUUACGUUUAAUUGGCCAGGAUUCUGUUCACAUGCUCACGCCUAAACUGAUCAUAGUUUCCAGAAUGGAAUUGCCAUGAUUAUCUUAGGCCAAUGGUCCUUAAGCCAGCUUGCAAUGUAAGAAAAUGUAAGAAAACUGUUGGGGCCAGAUAUUGUUUGUUUUUUUUUUUUUAAGAUCCCCAGGUGAUUCCACUGUACAGUCAGUAUUAAAACCACUGGCUUAGCCUCAUCAGAAUUCACCACCAUUCACCACCCCCCAGGUAGGAGAAAGGGCUUCCUUGUCUAAGAACAUAAUAUUAAUACAACGAACAUCUGAACAAAACUGGGAGAUAGUAAUAAAGGGGAGAGGGCAAUAAAAAAUGGAAAGUAAUGGG
rnacentral:lncRNA from 10 species